AACGAACGCUGGCGGCAGGCUUAACACAUGCAAGUCGAGCGCCCCGCAAGGGGCGCGGCAGACGGGGGAGUAACGCGUGGGAAUCUACCCACCUCUACGGAAUAACGCAUGGAAACGUGUGCUAAUACCGGAUACGUCCUUCGGGAGAGAGAUUUAUCGGAGAUGGAUGAGCCCGCGUUGGAUUAGCUAGUUGGUGGGGUAAAGGCCUACCAAGGCGACGAUCCAUAGCUGGUCUGAGAGGAUGAUCAGCCACACUGGGACUGAGACACGGCCCAGACUCCUACGGGAGGCAGCAGUGGGGAAUAUUGGACAAUGGGCGCAAGCCUGAUCCAGCCAUGCCGCGUGAGUGAUGAAGGCCCUAGGGUUGUAAAGCUCUUUCACCGGUGAAGAUAAUGACGGUAACCGGAGAAGAAGCCCCGGCUAACUUCGUGCCAGCCGCCGCAGUAAUAC
rnacentral:rRNA from 1 species